UACGGGGGGAGCAAGCGUUGUUCGGAUUUACUGGGCGUAAAGGGCGCGUAGGCGGCCACCGCAAGUCGACUGUGAAAUCUCCGGGCUUAACCCGGAAAGGUCAGCCGAUACUGCGGGGCUAGAGUGCAGAAGGGGCAACUGGAAUUCUCGGUGUAGCGGUGAAAUGCGCAGAUAUCGGGAGGAACACCUAUGGCGAAGGCAGCUCGCUGGGACGUUACUGACGCUGAGACGCGAAAGCGUGGGGAGCGAACAGG
rnacentral:rRNA from 1 species